GAGGGUAUGUCCCCUAUCUGCCUCGCUGGCUGAAGUCACACAGGCCUCGGCUGGUACGUUUGCAUGCCUGCUGAUGGAUGUCCUGUGAAAGGCCUCCCUGCAGAUCAAAAAAUAAGUGGAUGUGCCUGCUGACGCUGCAUUCUGUCUCAGCACUGGCUGCAUUCAGGUUCAGCCAAGUCUGCUACCUCAACCAUCUUUGGAGCUCUCCCACAGGUACUCUACUAGACAAUGCCAAGGUCUCUUCCAGGUAAUCUGUUAUUUUAUUGCCUACUGGGUUCAGUGCCAGGAUCUCCUUACAGAGAUCAAACUCUUCUGCUGGCAUGGAAUCCCAGCCUGGAAUUUCAGGGAGUCUUUUCCCCUGUGGAAGAAAAAUGACCAGGCCUUAUCCCCCAUUAAUUAAGAAUUGCCGUAUCUACCUGUGCACUGCUGUCACCUAGUCACAGCCUAGAGAAUGAGCACCCCUUCCCAUGAUGUUGUCAACUGGUGUCAUAAUGUCCAUGAUGACAAGGCAGCAACAACUGUAUCAGCAGCAGAUUGUUUUGUCUGAUGAGAAAUGGAGGCGCUUGUCUUGACACUGUAGAUUGGGUGCCGUGGGGCAGAGUGGGCUGACUCACAGCAGCUCGGUGAGCUGGGACUUCUCCUCAGAGGAGGCACGUUCCGUGCCAGAAUCUCCGCUUUCAAUAUUAAUACAAGUUUUUAGCAAAGAGAACCUUCAAAAUGUGAACCAUGUAACCCCUGUAGUGCUGUCUGCAGAGACCCUGAAAUGGCGCUGCUGAGAGAGCUCUGACUGCUCCCAUUCAUCUUGAAGGUGCUCGGAAGCCUUAGGUUGAGGAUUAAAAUGUUAAGAUUGUUAA